AGGUGUGGUUUGGUGCAUGUAUGCAGGCCAUCCUAAUACUCAUGCUUGAAUUUUUUCCUACCUGCAGAAGCUGUUGCUUGCUGGCAGACAACCGAUGGGUGAGGAAGUGUUAUGGCCAGCACCCACACAGUUAUUUAAGGGCUAAACAGUACAGGAUGAAAUGAUUGCACUUGUAUGGAUUACAACCAGGAUCUACACAUUUGUUCUUAGAAGUAAGUGCUUCUGUUUUUGAUGUAAUCUCUGGGAUGGCUACUUGAAGUGUUUGGGUUGAGGAAGUCU
rnacentral:lncRNA from 11 species